GUCCUGUGGGAUUCUGACAGAGGGUUAACCUAUUUGACCAUCAGUUUUUCGGCACACUACCAAGGUAAUAGGACAACUUUCCCUGAGACAGCCCUGUGGUUGUGAACAAGGCAUGGUUUAGUGGGAACGAUCCCAACACAGAACAAGACUCCAUCGCUCAAUUAAGACAUCUGAGUGCACGAAUACACGAACGCUUCCAGGAAGACGGGGAACCCCACACAGGAGAACAUGCAAGUCAGAGCAGGGGAUUCCGCAGUGGUUAAGGGGGAGAUGCCCAGGGACGCGUACAUACAACUGUCAUACCUCACUGUCCUCUUCAUCAUCCGUCUACAGAUUGGGAGAGAAAGAGCAGAAGGUACGGGGAACAGGAAGAGAGAGGAAGAGAAAAGAUGGGGUAGAAGAUGUAAAGGGAGAUGGAAGAGCGGGACAAUGAAGGAGGACUUUAAACAGACAGAAGUAGAGAAGAAUAAUGGAUAUGAAACAGGCCUCAGGAUAAUGUUUAAAAUGCUGUGAUCUGGCCGUUACAGGACACACCACACUCUGUGUGGCUCUAGACCUUCAUAUGUAUUCACAUACGGACAGAGACAGCAGCACAGUCUCCAGAACGCGCCUUCUCCCAUUUAGGGUUUGUUGUUUCUCCUGCCGGGACGUCCAGGGGUUUGGAUUUUCACACAGAGAUUGGAUUAGGCUGUCUUUGAACUAUGACAGUCUCCUGCCAAGCCAAACAUGCUCUGCAGCACCAGAGCCAGGCCUCCGUAAGAUCGGAUAAAGCUGUUUGGCAAAGUGAACUCAUGGGCCGUUCUGUGAUCGGCUAGUGCUGUCUGGAAUGUUGAAUGGUAGCCCUCUUUCGGAUUGGCUCUGGCUGCCUGGAGGCUGAGUAACAGGUCCUUCUGCAAUGGGCUGGAACCGUCUGGUGCACUAAGCCCCAGGCUGCUUUGGCACUGGCUAGUUACUGAGAUCAGCUGGCAAUGCCUGACCCUGUUCAUGUAGAGUCAAAGGGCUACAUGCAGAGCUUUGCUGAGAUCGCAGAUUGUACUGUCAUAGUCUCAGGUACAUUCUGGGAGACAAUCAUUCACGGUAUAGUAACACAGCCAGGUCUGGGGGCCACAGCGUUACAUCUUUCCUACAAGACUACGGGGUCACUUCCUUCAGUAAAUUAUAAUAACAAACGCGCCUUCAGACCUAUUCAAAAUAUCUUACCAGCCAGAAGCCAAAAAAGGAAUGAAAAUUUAUGUGGAAUCUAAUAUCUGACCUCAUGCCAGCCUUGUGGUUCCUCUUCAUCUGUUUAUUAGGUACUUUUCUGUGGAUCUCUCCGCCAUUAAGUGGGCCGGGCGACACAAUAGCCAGUGGAAGCGAGAAACACAAGCGGAUCAAACCACAGAAAGAGGCAGGUCUGUCUCCUGCUUCACAUGCCUCAGUCUAAGGCUACAUCUGUUCCCUGUUACAAGCCAAAGUUGACAGCACAUUGUUGUGUUUACUUCUGAAGAGGACUGGAAAUGAAUCCUGAGUUUGCUCAAUGCCCUCCAUGGGUCUGUAUCUGCCAUACAGAUUAAUAAUCACACCUUGGGGACUAACACUGGGCCUUUCUGCUGAGCUAGUGCCCUCUGAUUGGUUGCCAUCACAGUAUGAGACUCAGCGUACAUCGUGGGAUACGUCAUAGAGGCAGGGAUGUGGUCUGAAGACAUCCAGGACAGGAGAGCUACUGUUGCAGUUACACUAGUGUGAGACCAGUCAGGUGUGAUGGUCGUCGACCAACCUUACUGUCUUCAUUACGGGACUCUGGUACUGCCAGUGUUACCUGUUGAUGAUCCUGCGGUGUAUGAUCUUCAGGAUGAUGAUCCGUUCGGCACAGUCCUUCAGGAAAUCCGACAUUUUCUGCUUCAGUACCGACUUCAUUUCAUGCUUGGCGAUCACCUUCAGGUGAUCCCACGAUGCCUUGCACCGGCGUUCCAUCUGACACAGGUUCUCUUGCAGUUGGUCAAAGUCCACCUGGAAAACAUGGAACACGGCCCUCAAUCUUCUCAGCUCAGGCUGAGGCUCUGGUCACGCGAGGUCAGAACUUUGAAUACCAUUUGCCUACAUCACUAAGCGCAAAAGUAAUAAAAUAAGUGAAAGCAA